rnacentral:rRNA from 1 species
GACGAACGCUGGCGGCGUGCUUAACACAUGCAAGUCGAACGGAAAGGCCCUGCUUUUGUGGGGUGCUCGAGUGGCGGACGGGUGAGUAACACGUGAGUAACCUGCCCUUGACUUUGGGAUAACUUCAGGAAACUGGGGCUAAUACCGGCUAGGAGCUCCUGCUGCAUGGUGGGGGUUGGAAAGUUUCGGCGGUUGGGGAUGGACUCGCGGCUUAUCAGCUUGUUGGUGGGGUAGUGGCUUACCAAGGCUUUGACGGGUAGCCGGCCUGAGAGGGUGACCGGCCACAUUGGGACUGAGAUACGGCCCAGACUCCUACGGGAGGCAGCAGUGGGGAAUAUUGCACAAUGGGCGGAAGCCUGAUGCAGCAACGCCGCGUGCGGGAUGACGGCCUUCGGGUUGUAAACCGCUUUCGCCUGUGACGAAGCGUGAGUGACGGUAAUGGGUAAAGAAGCACCGGCUAACUACGUG